AUUGGUCAGAAUGUUCACCUUGAUGAUAUCUAGGUCAUUUUGAAAGUGGGUCACGUGCCUUCAAAAACUAGGUCAGUAGGUCAAAUAAUAGAAAAACCUUGUGACCUCUCUAGAGGCCAUAUUUUUCAUGGGAUCUGUAUGAAAGUUGGUCUGAAUGUUCAUCUUGAUGAUAUCUAGGUCAACUUUGAAAGUGGGUCACGUGCCUUCAAAAACUAGGUCAGUAGGUCAAAUAAUAGAAAAAUCUUGUGACCUCUCUAGAGGCCAUAUUUUUUAUGGGAUCUGUAUGAAAGUUGGUCUGAAUGUUCAUCUUGAUGAUAUCUAGAUCAAGUUAGAAACAGGGUCAUGUGCGGUCUAAAACUAGGUCAGUAGGUCUAAAAAUAGAAAAACCUUGUGACCUCUCUAGAGGCCAUACUUGUGAAUGGAUCUCCAUAAAAAUUGGUCAGAAUGUUCAUCUUGAUGAUAUCUAGGUCAAGUUCGAAAGUGGGUCACGUGCCGUCAAAAAGUAGGUCAGUAGGUCUAUAAUAAAAAACGUUGUGACCUCUCUAGAGGCCAUAUUUUUCAUGGGAUCUGUAUGAAAGUUGGUCUGAAUGUUUAUCUUGAUGAUAUAUAGGUCAAGUUUGAAACUGGGUCAACUGCGAUCAAAAACUAGGUCAGUAGGUCUUGAAAUAGAAAAACCUUUUGACCUCUCUAGAGGCCAUACCCUUGAAUGAAUCUUCAUGAAAAUUGGUCAGAAUGUUCACCUUGAUGAUAUCUAGGUCAAGUUUGAAACUGGGUCACGUGCCUUAAAAAACUAGGUCUGUAGGUCAAAUAAUAAAAAAGCCUUGUGACCUCACUAGAGGCCUUACUUUUCAUGGGAUCUGUAUGAAAGUUGGUCUGAAUGUUCAUCUUGAUGAUAUCAAGGUCAAGUUUGAAACUGGGUCAACUGCGGUCAAAAACUAGGUCAGUAGGUCUAAAAUUAGAAAAAUCUUUUGACCUCUCCAGAGGCCAUAUUUUUCAAUGGAUCUUCAUGAAAAUUGAUCUGAAUGUUCACCUUGAUGAUAUCUAGGUCAGUUUCAAAACUGGGUCACGUGCGGUCAGAAACUAGGCCAGUAGGUAUAUUUUUCAUGGGAUCUGUAUGAAAGUUGGUCUGAAUGUUUAUCUUGAUGAUAUAUAGGUCAAGUUUGAAACUGGGUCAACUGCGAUCAAAACCUAGAUUAGUAGGUCUUGAAAUAGAAAAACCUUGUGACCUCUCUAGAGGCCAUACCCUUGAAUGGAUCUUCAUUGAAAUUGGUCAGAAUGUUCACCUUGAUAUCUAGGUCAAGUUCGAAACUGGGUCAACUGCUAGGUCAGUAGGUCUAAAAAUAGGAAAACCUUGUGACCUCUCUAGAGGCCAUACUUUUCAAUGGAUCUUCAUGAAAGUUGGUCAGAAUGUUCACCUUGAUGAUAUCUAGGUCAAGUUUGAAACUGGGUCACGUGCCUUCAAAAACUAGGUCAGUAGGUCAAAUAAUAAAAAAAACCUUGUGACCUCUAGAGGCCAUAUAUUUCAUGAGAUCUUCAUGAAAAUUGGUCAGAAUGUUCACCUUGAUGAUAUCUAGGUCAUGUUUGAAAGUGGGUCACGUGCCUUCAAAAACUAGGUCAGUAGGUCAAAUAAUAGAAAAACCUUGUGACCUCUCUAGAGGCCAUAUUUUUCAUGGGAUCUGUAUGAAAGUUGGUCUGAAUGUUUAUCUUGAUGAUAUAUAGGUCAAGUUUGAAACUGGGUCAACUGCGAUCAAAACCUAGAUUAGUAGGUCUUGAAAUAGAAAAACCUUGUGACCUCUCUAGAGGCCAUACCCUUGAAUGGAUCUUCAUUGAAAUUGGUCAGAAUGUUCACCUUGAUAUCUAGGUCAAGUUCGAAACUGGGUCAACUGCUAGGUCAGUAGGUCUAAAAAUAGGAAAACCUUGUGACCUCUCUAGAGGCCAUACUUUUCAAUGGAUCUUCAUGAAAGUUGGUCAGAAUGUUCACCUUGAUGAUAUCUAGGUCAAGUUUGAAACUGGGUCACGUGCCUUCAAAAACUAGGUCAGUAGGUCAAAUAAUAAAAAAAACUUUGUGACCUCUAGAGGCCAUAUUUUUCAUGGGAUCUAUAUGAAAAUUGGUCUGAAUGUUCAUCUUGAUGAUAUCUAGGUCAAAUUCGAGACUGGGUGAACUGUGCUCAAAAACUAGGUCCGUAGAUCUAAAAAUAGAAAAACCUUGUGACCUCUUUAGAGGCCAUACUUGUGAAUGGAUCUUCAUAAUUGGUCAGAAUGUUCAUCUUGAUGAUAUCUAGGUCAAGUUUGAAACUGGGUCAUGUGCGGUCCAAAACUAGGUCAGUAGGUUUAAAAAUAGAAAAACCUUGUGACCUCCCUAGAGGCCAUAGUUUUUGAUGGAUCUUCAUGAAAAUUGGUCAGAAUGUUCACCUUGAUGAUAUCUAGGUCAAGUUUGAAACUGGGUCACAUGCCAUCAAUAACUAGGUCAGUAGGUCAAAUAACAAAAAAACCUUGUGACCUCUGUAGAGGCCAUAUUUUUCAUGGGAUCUGUAUGAAAGUUGGUCUGAGUGUUCAUCUUGAUGAUAUCUAGGUCAAGUUUGAAACUGGGUCAACUGCGGUCAAAAACUAGGUCAGUAGGUCUAAAAAUAGAAAAACCUGGUGACCUCUCUAGAGGCCAUACCUUUCAAUGGAUCUUCAUGAAAAUAAGUCAGAAUGUUCACCUUGAUGAUAUCUAGGUCAGAUUCGAAACUGGGUCACGUGCCGUCAAAAACUAGGUCAGUAGGUCUAAAAAUAGAAAAACCUUGUUACCUCUCUAGAGGCCAUACUUGUGAAUGGAUCUUCAUGAAAAUUGGUCAGAAUGUUCCCCUUGAUGAUAUCUAGGUCAAGUUUGAAACUGGGUCACAUGCUAUCAAUAACUAGGUCAGUAGGUCAAAUAAUAAAAAACCUUGUGACCUCUCUAGAGGCCAUAUUUUUCAAUGGAUCUUCAUGAAAAUUGGUUAGAAUUUUUAUCUUGAUGAUAUCUAGGUCAGGUUCAACACUGGGUCACAUGAGCUCAAAAACUAGGUCACAGUGUCAAAUAAUAGAAAACGAUGUCAUACUCGGUUUAAAACUGGGCCAUAUGGGGACAGGUGAACGAUUCAGGACCAUCAUGGUCCUCUUGUUAUUAUUGGCCGUAGGGAAAAAUUGAGACCACUUUUUAGCUCGACUAUUCGAAGAAUAGUCGAGCUAUUCUACUCACCCUGGCGUCGGCGUCGGCGUCGGCGUCACACCUUGGUUAAGUUUUUGCAUGCAAGUACAUACAGCUAUCAUUUAAAGGCAUAUAGCUUUGAAACUUAUUUAUUCUUUUUCUAGGUCAAUUACCAACCUCACUGGGUCGAGUUCCAUAACUCUAACAUGUAUUUUGAGCAAAUUAUGCCCCUUUUUGGACUUAGAAAAUUCUGGUUAAAGUUUUACAUGCAAGUUACUAUCUCCAAAACUAAUGCAGAUAUUGAAUUGAAACUUCACAUGUGUCUUUGGGGUUAUAAAACUAGUUGAUAGCACCAAGUCCCAUAACUCUGACCUUCAUUUUGGCCAAAUUAUGCCCCCUUUUGGACAUAGAAAAUUCUGGUUAAAGUUUUGCGUGCAAGUACAUACAGCUAUUACUAAAAGGCAUAUAGAUUUGAAACUUAUUUUUUCUUUUUCUAGAUCAAUUACCUACCUCACUGGGUCAAGUCCCAUAACUCUGACAUGUAUUUUGGGCAAAUUAUGCCCCCUUUUGGACUUAGAAAUUCUGGUUAAAGUUUUGCGUGCAAGUACAUACAGCUAUUACUAAAAGACAUAUAUAUUUGAAACUUAUUUUUUCUUUUUCUAAAUCAAUUACCUACCUCACUGGGUCAAGUCCCAUAACUCUGACAUGUAUUUUGGGCAAAUUAUGCCCCCUUUUGGACUUAGAAAUUCUGGUUAAAGUUUUGCGUGCAAGUACAUACAGCUAUUACUAAAAGGCAUAUAUAUUUGAAACUUAUUUUUUCUUUUUCUAGAUCAAUUACCUACCUCACCGGGUCAAGUCCCAUAACUCUGACAUGUAUUUUGGGCAAAUUAUGCCCCCUUUUGGACUUAGAAAAUCCUGGUUAAAGUUUUACAUGCAAGUUACUAUCUCCAAAACUAAUGCAGAUAUUGAAUUGAAACUUCACAUGUGUCUUCGGGGUUAUAAAACUAGUUGAUAGAAUCAAGUCCCAUAACUCUGACAUGUAUUUUGGGCAAAUUAUCCUUCCUUUUGGACUUAGAAAAUCCUGGUUAAAGUUUUGCGUGCAAGUACAUACAGCUAUUACCAAAAGGCAUAUAGCUUUGGAACUUAUUUAUUCUUUUUCUAGGCCAAUUACCAAGCUCACUGGGUCAAGUUCCAUAACUCUAAGUUGUAUUUUGAGCAAAUUAUGCCCCCUUUUGGACUUAGAAAAUUCUGGUUAAAGUUUUACAUGCAAGUUACUAUCUCCAAAACUAAUGCAGAUUAUGGAAUUGAAACUUAACAUGUUUCUUCGGGGUUAUAAAACUAGUUGAUAGCAUCAAGUCCCAUAACUCUGAUAUGCAUUUUGGUCAAAUUAUGUCCCCUUUCGAACUUAAAACUCUUUUGAUAUUUAACAUUUUGGGUAAUAAUUUCCUGCUUCUGUGACAAUAUUUCGAAUAGUCGAGCUUGGCUGUCUUACGGACAGCUCUUGUUUGUGGUACAGCAUGGAUGGUACCUCCAAUUUUUAGGUGUAUUUUGACAUAUCUGUACCUUGUAAGAAUUUUUUUUUCUUUUUGGUUAAAUUUCUUCGCUUUGUUGUUCCUGUCCUUUGGACUUAGAUAUUUUUUCUGAGGACCUUCUUGUCCUCAAGUGCUUCUUGUCCUCAAUGAUAACAGGUGAGCGAUAUAGGGCCAUCAUGGCCCUCUUGUUUAAAGUUCUAUUGGGUAAAACAGACAAAGCAACUAGUCAAUGGAGAAUGUGUAUUACCAUAUUUUCCCUAAGUCUUUGGAUACCCUUAAUCUUGAGACACCCCUAAAUCUGUAAAAAUAAUUAUUUUUCAUGUCCCUAAUGUUUUGGACAUGUAUUUUCUCAGAGUAUUUUUCGUCUCUAAGUGUUGGGACUAUUUGUGUGUACCGAUUCAAGAUGUAAAUCAAGUACCGUUAUUAUGCAUUGUAUGGUGUUGUAUCUAUCAAAAUAUCAAAUAAUUAUAAGAACCAAAGAAUAUUUUUUGUAACCUUUUCUGGUCGUUAUUUUAGUGCAUUUGUACUAGCUGAAUUCGGCUAUUCCGUGCCAGUAAAGUGCUUUUUACCAUACCAAUUAAAAGUUGUAUGUUUUGGCUGCAGCCAUUACAGGAAAUCCGUUUUCCAUAAGUUAUUAUGCCCCUCUUCAAAAAAGGAGGGGUAUAUUGUUUUGCAGAUGUCGGUCUGUCUGUUGGUCGGUAUGUAGACCAAUCCGUUUCCGGAUGAUAACUCAAGAACGCUUUUGCCUAGGAUCAUGAAAGUUGAUAGGGAGAUUGGUCAUAACCAGCAGAUGACCCCUAUUGAUUUUGAGAUAAGUAGGUCAAAGGUCAAGGUCACUGUGACCUAGAACAGUUAAAUGGUUUCCUGAUGAUAACUCAAGAACACUUAAGCCUAGGAUCAUGAAAAUUGACAGGAAGGUUGGUCAUGACCAGCAGAUGACUCCUAUUGAUUUUGAGAUCAAUAGGUCAAAGGUCAAGGUCACAGUGACACAGAACAGUUAAACAGUUUCCCGAUGAUAGCUCAAGAAUACUUUGGCCUAUGAUCAUGAAAGUUGACAGGGAGAUUGUUCAUGUCCAGCAGAUGACCCCUAUUGAUUUUAAGGUCAGUAGGUCAGAGGUCAAGGUCACAGUGACCCAGAACAGUUAAACGGUUUCUUGAUGAUAACUCAAGAACGCUUUGGCCUAGGAUCAUGGAACUUAAUAGGGAGGUUGAUCAUGACCAGCAGAUGACCUCCGUUUAUUUUAAGGUCAAUAGGUCAAAGGCCAAGGUCACAUUGACCCAGAACAGUAGAACUUUUGUAUACAAUGACCAAAUAAUUUCUGUUCCUUGUGCAAUUACUGAAUGCAUGAAGGGGGGCAUUUCAUGUUAUACGAGCUCUUGUUUAUUUUUAUUCACGUACUGACUGGAAUUUACCCGCGAAUCAUAACAAGAGGGCCAUGUUGGCCCUAUAUGCGCACCUGUAAACAUGGCCUCAGAAUCAUCAAGAUAAACAUUCUGACCAAGUUUCAAUGAGAUAGGGUCAUAAAUGCGGCUUCUACAAUGUUAACAAGCUUUUUCUUUGACCAUAUGCAAUCAUUCUAUGAAAUACGAGGCUUGAAGACCUAAGCGUUCUUCAGCUACCGAUUGGACCCCCAAAACAAUUGAGGUUAUUUACUGAACACAGGCAAUCAUCCUACAAAGUCUGACCACUGUAGGCCUAAGCAUUCUGUAGUUAUUCAGCAGAAACCAGACUGACAUGAGCAAAACAAUAUUUCUAUUGGAAAGGGGGAGGGAGGAUAAAAAUUCUUUUACAACUGACUAUUGAUGGACAUUGUAAGCCUUUCCCAUCUUCUCCUAUGCCUGGGAAGGGUUAUAAUUGAUUUCUAGUACAAGCAUUUCUGUUAUUAAUUGGUGUAACCCAGAAUAGUAACAAACUCCUUAUUAUUUUUUUAAUAGAUUUAAUAGAAUGUUGUAAGUAAUGUUGAUAAUAUAACAAAGUAUUUACAUCAGCAGUGAUUUUAUUAAGAAUCAUUACAGAUAACUAAUUCACUAUUUAUGUACAAUGCAUUUGUAUUUAAAUACGCAGCAUACUGAAAAAUACAUCAUGUCAGAUGCAGAAUUUAUGUUUAAAAAUUUAUCUGCAUAAAUCAUUGUUCUUUUGACUUGCUUUAGAAAAUUCAAAAUGAUGGUUACAUAAUAUUGAAUCAUGUUCAUUGUUUUGUUUUUGUUGUGUUUAGUGUCACAUAGACACAAACUUUGUCGUAAUAUUGGCUCUACUUUCAACUGUUUUUUCAUAGUUGUACUGUAACAUCUGUCAUUCUUCAGCAUUUAUCAGAUAUGCAUACUAAUAAUUUUUCUGCAUAUUUGUGCUUGGUUAUAUAUGUACAGUACUUUAUCUUACAGUUGAUACAAACAGAUUUGCACAUCUUGAAUGGUAGCAUUCUCAAGAUUGUUUUAUGCUGACUUUGAUUUUUUGUUUGGUUUAAUGUUGCAGUCAUAUAUUGAUUAUCCAGCUUUGAUGGUGGAGGAAGAGGGGGCACCUGGGUAGAACCAUUGACCUCCAGUAAGCCAGCUGGAUGGCUUCCUCAUUAUGACUGAUUAGUUGAAUUUAAGUAAAACAUUAUUGUCUUUAAAAUAGGAAAAAAAUAAAUAAAUAAAAUAUGACAAGACA